UUAGAUACCCCACUAUGCUUGACCAUAAACAUAGAUAAUACAAACACAAUAUUAUCCGCCAGAGAACUACAAGCGAAAAGCUAAAAACUCCAAGGACUUGGCGGUGCUUCAAAUCAACCUAGAGGAGCCUGUCCUAUAAUCGAUACCCCCCGCUUUACCUUUCCUCCCCUUGAAAACCAGCCUAUAUACCGCCGUCGAAAGCUUACCUUAUGAAAGAAAUAAAGUAAGCAAAACAGUUAUUAACUAACACGUCAGGUCAAGGUGUAGCAAACGGGGAGGCAGAGAUGGGCUACAUUUUCUAAACUAACACACGAAUAACACACUGAAAUACGUGUUCGAAGGCGGAUUUAGUAGUCAGACAGUAAAGAGAGCCUGUCUAAAACCUGCUCUGAAGCACGCACACACCGCC
rnacentral:rRNA from 1 species